GACGUAGGGGGCGAGCGUUGUCCGGAUUUAUUGGGCGUAAAGCGUGCGUAGGCGGCUGCGCAAGUCGGGUGUGAAACCCCGGGGCUCAACCCCGGAACCGCAUCCGAUACUGCGUGGCUAGAGGUAGGUAGGGGCGGGUGGAAUUCCGGGUGUAGCGGUGGAAUGCGUAGAGAUCCGGAAGAACACCGGUGGCGAAGGCGGCCCGCUGGGCAGGAAGGCUCGCAAGAGCCGGCUGACACUGAGGCGCGACAGCGUGGGGAGCAAACAGG
rnacentral:rRNA from 1 species